AACGAACGCUGGCGGCAGGCCUAACACAUGCAAGUCGAGCGAGACCUUCGGGUCUAGCGGCGGACGGGUGAGUAACGCGUGGGAACGUGCCCUUUGGUUCGGAAUAGCCCCGGGAAACUGGGAGUAAUACCGGAUAAGCCCUACGGGGGAAAGAUUUAUCGCCAAAGGAUCGGCCCGCGUUGGAUUAGGUAGUUGGUGGGGUAAUGGCCUACCAAGCCGACGAUCCAUAGCUGGUUUGAGAGGAUGAUCAGCCACACUGGGACUGAGACACGGCCCAGACUCCUACGGGAGGCAGCAGUUAGGAAUAUUGGACAAUGGGCGCAAGCCUGAUCCAGCCAUGCCGCGUGAGUGAUGAAGGCCUUCGGGUUGUAAAGCUCUUUAGCCGACGAAUAUAAUGACUGUAGUCGGAGAAUAAGCCCCGGCUAACUUCGUGCCAGCCGCCGCUGUAACAC
rnacentral:rRNA from 1 species